AUGCUAGCAAGAUGGGCAUCAUAUCUUGAGAGGUUUAACUAUCUCAUUGUGCAUAAAUCUGGAAUAACUAACAGAGUGGCCGAUGCUUUGAGUCGUCGUGCAUGCCUCUUGACUUCUUUUGAAGCUGAACUUCCGGGCAUGGGUCAAAUAAAGGAGUUGUAUGAGGGUGACGAAGACUUUGUCCAUGUUUGGGUAAAGCACGCAAGGGGCCAACCAUUAGGUGAUGACUAUUUGAUGCAAGAUGGAUAUCUCUUCAAAAAUGAUCGUUUGUGCAUUCCAAGAAGUUCUCUACAUGACAAGCUGGUUAGAGAGCUCCAUUCAAGUGAUCUUAGUGGCCAUGUUGGACGGGACAAGACUAUCGCUAACCUGGAAGCUCGCUACUUUUGGCCACAACUAAAGAGAGAUGCUGGAAAGUUCGUUCAACGGUGCCCCGUAUGUUAG
rnacentral:rRNA from 1 species